AUACGUAGGGCGCGAGCGUUGUCCGGAAUUACUGGGUGUAAAGGGUGCGUAGGCGGGACUGCAAGUCAGAUGUGAAAUGCCGGGGCUCAACCCCGGAGCUGCAUUUGAAACUGUGGUUCUUGAGUGAGGAAGAGGUAAGCGGAAUUCCUAGUGUAGCGGGGAAAUGCGUAGAUAUUAGGAGGAACAUCGGUGGCGAAGGCGGCUUACUGGGCCUUUACUGACGCUGAGGCACGAAAGCGUGGGGAGCAAACAGGAUUAGAUACCCUGGUAGUCCACGCUGUAAACGAUGAUGACUAGGUGUGGGGGGACUGAACCCUUCCGUGCCGCAGUUAACACAAUAAGUCAUCCACCUGGGGAGUACGGCCGCAAGGUUGAAACUCAAAUGAAUUGACGGGG
rnacentral:rRNA from 1 species